rnacentral:sRNA from 1 species
AGUUAAAACAUACUAUAACUUCCACACACCAGCUAAAUGGAAACGCUCUUGACAGGAUCUGCUAUGAAGAAAACGGAAUGGAGUAACAUGGGGAUAUGUGGAAUAAGUCCUGAGAUGGAAUAGAGUAAAAGCACCAUUGCCCAAGGGCAGAGUUGGAUACCACUGCAGUAAAGAGUGACUGAUUAGGCAAGCAUUUCAAAAAGGGUACAUAUGACCAAGAUCCCCCACCACACCAAAACCACAGAUGCUGCCACUUGGAAGGGUUAAAAGAAAAAGGAGAUGGAUUUAUUUUAAAGCAAGGAUCAAGGGAAAUAAUAUGUGAAACAGCUUAAUUAUAAAGUAGAAAAACUAUAUAACAUAUCCAAAACGCUAAUGAUGUAUUAAUUGCACCACUUGAGAAAUUUCGAAAGGAACAGAUAGGUGCAGCAAAAGUAA